rnacentral:lncRNA from 1 species
UGAUUUUAACAUAGAACAAAGAAAUAUAAUGAGUUAGUUAAUAAGUAUAUGACAAGAGGUAUCUAUAAACGGUUUUAUCGCGAAAGUAAAAAAAAAAAUUCUUUUUCUUCUUGAAUAACGCUGAAACCGCCUAGGUAAUGCCUGGUUAUCAUUAUGUUAUAUGUAUGUGACGUCAGUGUUGUCAAAAUAAUGAAAACGGUUGACAUAUAGUGUCAUUGUAGUCAAUUUUAAUUACGUCCGCUCAUAUACAUACAUAUGUAGAAUGGCAGCUAAGUGAAAACGGCCUUUAAGCGAUUUAGGCCGACUCUAACAAAGUACGCAAUACGUUUCUCUUCUGUGUCAACUGACGCAAUUGAAUCGGUUAAUAACCAAAGGGAGUAAAUCAGUAUUUUUUCGAUAUGCAAAUUUUUAUGCAUUUUGGUUCGUUUAAGCUCUGUUGAACUGCAUCAAAUAUGCCGGAUCAAAAAAAUUCUGACUUAUUCCCUAUGGUUAUUAAACGAUUUAAUUGAAAAUAUCAAGUGCAGAGAAGUUCUUCUCCAACUGAUCUUACCAACGCAGAGGAGGCCUUUCUCUAUGUCUAUAUUGUUGUGAAGCUCAUACAGCGUUUUACCGUCUGCGGUAUUCGCCAACGCGUAAAUACCCGUAAAUCUUCCGUAGAAUGCAGGUUUAUAGCACAUUCCAUCUCAAUAUAAAAAGGUUCCUGUUUAACGUCCCUCAAAUUUUGCAUUAACUUUUCAUUUUUUUUUGCUGGCGGAUAUGAAAAAAAAAAUAUUAGAACAUUAUUUGUGUGAAAGGAAAUGCGAAAGGUCUUCCAUAAAAAAAAAUUGCAAAACUGAACGUAAAUUCUAUGCCACUUGGAGGGCUAAACCCUGCACACCCAACAGUUUUCUAAAAACUCUUAACAAAAAUUUUAAAUUUUAAUGAUAUGAUUUAUAUUUCUAAAUGAAAUAAAAAAAUAAAAAAUAAAAAUAAAAUUAAAACUCAAAAAAAGCGGAUAUACUUACCAUAAACAUGUGUUGUUUUGUAAAUAUUUUUAGUGAGUAAUCUACCGACCUUUGCACAAAGCUGAAUUUCGAAAGAAAGCGAGUUAAGGUCUUUCAAUUUAAGUAAACGAUAAGUAUACAUAUAUGUAAAUUCAAUUCAAUUAAUGGUGAAACUAUGAUUUCUUCGCUGCAACUACAAAUAUAAAAACAAACCACUUACUUGUAACAAAAUGGCACGUAUUUAAAAUAAUGAGUUGCAUACAAUCAAAAAUGAGACGAACUAAGUGUGUAUAAAUUUGUUGCAAUUAUUUUUUCAAUGAAGCUUCCGUGUUAUUUUAACAACGCUUUUAUUUUACUUUAUUUUGACAAAUUUUAUGGCGCAGAGUAUUUGAACUGAAUCCAAACUCACGUACCUACUCAUUUGCUUAAAAAAGCCCUAAAGCUAGAGUUUGCAUUUUCAAAACACCAAACAACAAAAAAUUUACUGCUCUCAAUCAUGACCACUCUCACAUUAAAAAAUACGACUUAUUUAUUUCGGAUAUUAUAUCCAUUAAAAUAAUUGCUUUUAUUGCAUUGCUAAUUUUAAUAAAAUUAUAGUUCGACUUGCACACAACUGCAGGUACAUACAUAUUUCUUUCAAUAAAUGUGCAAAUAUUCCUCAUAAAAACUUUCAUUUGUUGAAGUAAUCUCACCGUUCGAUCGCUAAAACGAAACUCAGAGAGAAAUUAAGCAAAUAUAAAAACUUAAAAGUAAAUAACAGUAAUACGCCAAUAUUUGUUUAGCAUAGCAAAAAGGUAAAUAAAUUAAUACAAAUAGCAGAAAGCUGAAAUUUAUACAAAUAACAGAAAGCAGAAAUUCACAACCACUACAAAAAAGUCCAGCAUUGAAUGCUGUUCAUUGACAUCCAAGCGAGACAAUUUCGUUGUUUGUCGGUUCAUACAUACAUACAUACGUAAGUGUGUGUGUGUUUGUAUGCAAUUGGUAAAGUGAAAUCGUUCAUAGACAAUUUACACAUUUUUCAUAACUCAUCGGGGCAAUCAUGAUGCAUGAAUAGAAAAAACAGAACCUAUUGACUGCCGGAAAAGAUGGAGUGUCUGAUGGAGGCUUUUUGCGUGCGUAUCGCAUUAAAAAUGCUUUCAUG